rnacentral:tRNA from 1 species
UCCCUGGUGGUCCAGUGGUUAGGACUCAGCACUCUCACUGCUGUGGCCUGGGUUCAAUUCCUGGUCAGGGAA